CCUACGGGAGGCAGCAGUAGGGAAUAUUGCUCAAUGGGCGAAACCCUGAAGCAGCAACGCCGCGUGGAGGAUGAAGGUUUUCGGAUUGUAAACUCCUUUUGUUAGAGAAGAUAAUGACGGUAUCUAACGAAUAAGCACCGGCUAACUCCGUGCCAGCAGCCGCGGUAAUACGGAGGGUGCAAGCGUUACUCGGAAUCAAUGGGCGUAAAGAGCGCGGAGGCGGGAUAGCAAGUCAGAUGUGAAAUCCUAUGGCUUAACCAUAGAAGUGCAGUUGAAACUGUUAUUCUAGAGUGUGGGAGAGGUAGGUGGAAUGCGUGGUGUAGGGGUAAAAUGCGUAGAGAUCAAGAAGAAUACUCAUUGCGAAGGCGGCCUGCUGGAGCAUAACUGACGCUGAUGCGCGAAAGCGUGGGGAGCGAACAGGAUUAGAUACCCGUGUAGUC
rnacentral:rRNA from 1 species